rnacentral:rRNA from 1 species
UACGUAGGGUGCAAGCGUUGUCCGGAAUUAUUGGGCGUAAAGAGCUCGUAGGCGGUUCGUCGCGUCGGCUGUGAAAUCCCGAGGCUCAACCUCGGGUCUGCAGUCGAUACGGGCGGACUGGAGUUCGGCAGGGAGACUGGAAUUCCGUGGUGUAGCGGUGAAAUGCGCAGAUAAUCGAGGAGGAACACCGGUGGCGAAGGCGGGAUCUCGUGGGCCGAUACUGACGCUGAGGCGCGACAGCGUGGGGAGCAAACAGGAUAGAU